UACGUAGGGUCCGAGCGUUAUCCGGAUUCACUGGGUUUAAAGGGUGCGUAGGAGGGCAGGUAAGUCAGUGGUGAAAUCCCCGAGCUUAACUUGGGAACUGCCGUUGAUACUAUCUGUCUUGAAUGUUGUGGAGGUAAGCGGAAUAUGUCAUGUAGCGGUGAAAUGCUUAGAUAUGACAUAGAACACCAAUUGCGAAGGCAGCUUGCUACACAAUUAUUGACUCUGAUGCACGAAAGCGUGGGGAUCAAACAGG
rnacentral:rRNA from 1 species